rnacentral:rRNA from 1 species
AAAGUUUUAUUUAAUAAUUUUGAAAUUAAAUUAAAAGUAAAAAUGCUUUUAUGAAAUUUUGGGACGAGAAGACCCUAGAAGCUUAAAAUUUAAAAUUUUUUGUUGGGGUAACAUUUGAAGAUAAGGAUUUUUGAAAAUUUAAGGAAAGGAAAUAUAAAGUUACUCUAGGGAUAACAGCAUAAUUUAAUUAACAAGUUCUUAUUAAUAAUUAAGUUUGUGACCUCGAUGUUGAAUUAAUUUUUACUUUUGGUGAAGGAGCUAAGAUAGGAUAGUCUGUUCGACUAUUAAAAAAUUACAUGAUUU